UUCCUAAAUUUCUCAAACCGUACUCUCUCAAAACAGGACGAAAUCUCUGGGCCCCACUAAUUACCUGUGUAUAUACCAUAGAAGAACCAAAAUACCCAAUCAUUCCGUAUAACGCUACGCGCUCUUUUCAAAAAAGUCGUCGCGGGACUCAGCCACCCCCUGUCCACUCAACGCAGACAAUAAAGAAUUAUUCAACUCGGAAAGGGAAGAAGACCGGAAGCCUCUCUGCAAUUUGGGCCUUCUCCCAGCCGUCAGCUGUCUCUCUCUCUCUCUCUAUAUAUAUAUAUAUGUAUAUAUCAAAGGAUAUCUUAUCCCUUCUCAUUCAUCCGUUCAAAACAGAAGGAAGAACCCGACCCACUUACUGUGUAUUUGUCUCAGCUACACAUCCGCAGCCUGAAUCGCAUACUCGCUUCAAACUCAUCCGAAUAACUGAUAAGUUAUUCUUCUUGCAAUUGCGUGAAUGUCUGCCGCCAGAUUCACACCCGCUAUCUUCCUAAUCGUCGCUCUCUUGCUCUCCUCAUCCCUCAUAAGUAGAGCCUCAGCCAUCGGAGCUCAAAGCAGUCAUCAUCUCCAAGAAAGCACUCUGCCAACCCCUAGUGAUUCCAGCACUUUGUCAUUCCACAUGAGAAAACUCGGCAUCUAUGUUAGGAAAGGUGCUCGUUUGAGGCCAACGGUAGUCCCGAGGACCUCGACAAGGACGUCAGCAGCCGGGCGGACUAGCGUGCUGUCCUUCCGUGGGGGCUCUGUUCUCGGAUGCUCUCUGUUGCUUGGUUUGCUCUUGAUGUUCUAGUCCUGUGUGAAACUUGGAGGACGUUGUACAAGCUCCAAUUUCCUCAGAUGACCAGAGCAUAUAGAUGUAAAAAAAAAAAAAAAAAGCACUGGAUAUGUAAUGACCAAUUAGAAGGCACGGGAAGCAAAAAGCAGGCUUCAUUUGUUCCUUGUAAUUAGAUGCAUUCAUUAUCUCUUCAUUACUGUGGAUCUUAACUCAUCAUUAUGGAUAACGGGUCUUACUUCAUUAUUAUGGAUUUUCCAUUUGAUUCUCAGUUACUAUUCUUUGGAUGCAAUUAAAAUGCUUGGGUACUAUUAUAAUAUUCAUUGUUGAGUACUCAGGAUGUGAUUUACUCCGAGCCAUUAAUCUGAUGCCUGAGUUUGAAAUGAUUCUUGUCCAUCAAAGUUGUCAAACUCUAGUCGAUGCCCUAUUGAUUCCUUGCCCGACUUCUUUUACCUUGGAAAAUUUCCUUCGAUCUUGACGGAAAAGUUAGUGGGAAAAUCUUACAAAAAUGGAAGGUAUAGUUGGAAAUAUUAUUCUUUAAAGUACAUAUAAAAGGUUUGAGCGUCACCUCCUGACAGGAGAUCCAAUUAUGUUUGUUUUGCAAUAAUGACGGGCUGGAAAAGCCCUAGUGAUUGGCGGAUUUUGUGGAACCUAUAACAACGAAAAAUGACUUCAUGGGAGUAUAAGAAGCAUCAAGUUGCCUGCGAAUCUAUCUAUAGGGCUCCUUGGUUAACUAACCAUCCGUCUUGACUGAGAUGAGUGAUAGGUAUCUUUAUUCUUUUCUUAUAUUCAACAAGCAUCCACAAAUUAAAGCUUAAUCGUAAUUCCACCUAAAAGCAAUUCUCUCUGUCCCCCUAUGCUUUGCUUAGUGACAGCAUCAGCAAUGAAUUCCUGGGAGAUAACAACCACCAAAUUCUGAUGAAAACUUCCUCUAAUUUAACUGCCUCUUCAUCAUUUGCUGCCUGAUGCACAACUAAAUGGAUGCUGCGCACCGCCAUAAAUUGCAUAGAUUUCCAAACAUAUGUAUACAUACAGAUAUAUAUGUAUAUAUGUAUAUUUUCCGCUGUGGAACGCUGUUGAAUUAACUGUGAGUGAACCACGGAUACAAACAACUCGAAAUAAACACAAUACCAGUAGCAUUGCAUCAUGCUAAAUAUUAGUUCUCAGUAUUUGUGCCGAAAGAAAAAAGAUCAGGAAAGCUGAGCUGCUAUGUAAGCAAAAAUAUAGACAGAGAUAAUCGUCUUCUAGCAUGGCUGCAUUGGAUUCCAUUUGAGUAUAUUCGUUUUCCUUUGUUUGAGAACCUGUAGCUGGAGGGGUCGCAAAACAUUAUGAUAUCAAAAGCAAAAUUUAUAUUAUAUAAGGAUGUAGGUUCUUAGUUAGUGUUGAUAAAUGUUAGAGCUCGUUAGAGUGGAAUCACCAUCAUAAUGACGAAAAAUUUGCUUAUUUUGCUCCUCCUCCUUCUCUUUCCUUCCAAGUAUGAAUGCACUUCAUCUCCCGAACCAACAACUCAGAAUCCUCAUAUAGUCUCGGAAACUCGACCCUGCAAUGAGAAGGAAAGGCAGACCUGCAAAGUUUCUAGGAAAAAUCAUGAGGGAAUUCAAGAAGUUUGGUUAAGUGACGUGUAUAAGAAAGGGAAGGGUGUUUACAGAGGAGGAGAUCGGUUCCGACCAUGUCCAGGCCAUCGAUCUUGCUCAAGUCCUCAUCUAAUGAAAUCUACAUUUCUCUCUGCUUUGCUUGCCCCCGGACUUCUUGUUCUAUAUAUGCUGCGUUUAUUGGAGUAACACCUUUCCGGUACUCGUGAAUGGGAGGGAAAUAGAAUAGGAUUCACUGUUUUACAUUUUAUGUUCUUAUGUUACCUCUUAUAUGCACAGUAUAUGCAUCUUUCCUUCCACCCCGAUCAUCUUUCACUAGUCUAUUGUAACACCAGUUUCUGUCUCUCUGUCAAUACAUUAUCAUGAUUUCUCGCUAUAGUGGCUGAUAUCAGUGAUACAUGCCCGUAAGGCAGUUGAGCGAUUGGAGAGCAGAAACGGUCUCUACAUACUCUACAUGGAUAGGGUGAUAGGCCAAUUGGCCAAGCAACUGGACCAGAUUUCAUCCCUCCACCA